rnacentral:rRNA from 1 species
AGAACGAACGCUGGCGGCAUGCCUAAUACAUGCAAGUCGAACGAACACUUCGGUGUUAGUGGCGCACGGGUGCGUAACGCGUGGGAAUCUGCCCUUGGGUUCGGAAUAACAGUUGGAAACGACUGCUAAUACCGGAUGAUAUCGAAAGAUCAAAGAUUUAUCGCCCAGGGAUGAGCCCGCGUAGGAUUAGCUAGUUGGUGAGGUAAAGGCUCACCAAGGCGACGAUCCUUAGCUGGUCUGAGAGGAUGAUCAGCCACACUGGGACUGAGACACGGCCAG